GAUGAAUGCUGGCGGCGUGCUUAACACAUGCAAGUCGAGCGAGAGAGUUUCUUCGGAGACAAUCUAGCGGCGGACGGGUGAGUAACACGUGGGCAACCUGCCUUGUAGUGGGGGGAUAGCCCUCCGAAAAGGAGGAUUAAUACCGCAUAUUGUCACAUUGAGGCAUCUCAAAGUGAUGAAAAGGAGUAAUCCGCUACAAGAUGGGGCCCCGCGGCGCAUUAGCUAGUUGGUGAGGUAACGGCUCACCAAGGCGACGAUGCGUAGCCGACCUGAGAGGGUGAUCGGCCACAUUGGGACUGAGACACGGCCCAGACUCCUACGGGAGGCAG
rnacentral:rRNA from 1 species